rnacentral:rRNA from 1 species
CAAGGCGCCCGCCGGAGGACCAACCAAAACUCUUAUUGUAUACCCCCUCGCGGGUUUUUUUAUAAUCUGAGCCUUCUCGGCGCCUCUCGUAGGCGUUUCGAAAAUGAAUCAAAACUUUCAACAACGGAUCUCUUGGUUCUGGCAUCGAUGAAGAACGCAGCGAAAUGCGAUAAGUAAUGUGAAUUGCAGAAUUCAGUGAAUCAUCGAAUCUUUGAACGCACAUUGCGCCCGCCAGUAUUCUGGCGGGCAUGCCUGUCCGAGCGUCAUUUCAACCCUCGAACCCCUCCGGGGGGUCGGCGUUGGGGAUCGGCCCUCCCUUAGCGGGUGGCCGUCUCCGAAAUACAGUGGCGGUCUCGCCGCAGCCUCUCCUGCGCAGUAGUUUGCACACUCGCAUCGGGAGCGCGGCGCGUCCACA